rnacentral:lncRNA from 1 species
GUUUUUAUGUCAAAUUGAAAUCGACACUCAAACUGAGGUUCGGAGGUAGUUUUGCUACAUAUUGAGCCUCCUCUUUUUGUUUAUAAAUAUUUGCGAAGAAUUCCUUUUUGAUUGUUUUGAAACUUUUUCAUUUUCUGAAUAUGUUAAAUUGAUGGCAAUUUUUCUCUCUCGUGGGUGGUUCAUUAAACAGUCAAUUUUCAAAUUGGAUAAGAUUCCUUUUUGAAUACUCUAUUUCUUUUAAAUAUUAGGUUUUAUGAUUUGGAAAAAGGUAUUUUCUUGUUGGUAAAGAUUAGGGUUCGAGAUUAGUGUACUGGCUGAUACUCUGUUCGUUGUGUACAGGGUACUAGCAAAUAGCCAUCGAUAGGACAUUCGGGAAUCUGGGAUGACAACGGUUUCAUUUCAAAUUUUUGUCAUUAAUCUUUACCUCUGCUUUUGUUGUUACUGAAUUGAUUAUUUGACAUUUUGAAUAGUGGAUUAGGGUCUUGAGAAUGAAGUGAAUUCUUGAAGAAACAAGCUACUGCUAUUAUCUACGUCCUGUUUAUUUUGGUUCAAGAGUACGUCUGAGGCUUGCUAAGGAGAUGGAUGUUGCUAAACAUUGGUAGUUAGUUCUUUGGAAUUUGGUUGGCAG